rnacentral:rRNA from 1 species
UACGAAGGGGGCUAGCGUUGUUCGGAUUUACUGGGCGUAAAGCGCGCGUAGGCGGAUCAGGAAGUUGGGGGUGAAAUCCCGGGGCUCAACCCCGGAAUGGCCUUCAAAACUCCUGGUCUUGAGUUCGAGAGAGGUGAGUGGAAUUCCGAGUGUAGAGGUGAAAUUCGUAGAUAUUCGGAGGAACACCAGUGGCGAAGGCGGCUCACUGGCUCGACACUGACGCUGAGGUGCGAAAGCGUGGGGAGCAAACAGG